rfam:Canis lupus familiaris chromosome 16, whole genome shotgun sequence.
GGGGGGAGGCCGGAUCCUGGGCUGUGUCCUGGCGCCCUGUGCUCCGGAGCCUGCGCUGGUGGAUUCGCGCUCCCGCUCCCGGCCCCGCAGCCCCCU